GAUGAACGCUGGCGGCGUGCCUAAUACACGCAAGUCGAGCGAACGGACGAGAAGCCUGCUUUUCUGAUGUUAGCGGCGGACGGGUGAGUAACACGUGGAUAACCUACCUAUAAGACUGGGAUAACUUCGGGAAACCGGAGCUAAUACCGGAUAAUAUUUUGAACCGCAUGGUUCAAAAGUGAAAGACGGUCUUGCUGUCACUUAUAGAUGGAUCCGCGCUGCAUUAGCUAGUCGGUAAGGUAACGGCUUACCAAGGCAACGAUGCAUAGCCGACCUGAGAGGGUGAUCGGCCACACUGGAACUGAGACACGGUCCAGACUCCUACGGGAGGCAGCAGUAGGGAAUCUUCCGCAAUGGGCGAAAGCCUGACGGAGCAACGCCGCGUGAGUGAUGAAGGUCUUCGGAUCGUAAAACUCUGUUAUUAGGGAAGAACAUAUGUGUAAGUAACUGUGCACAUCUUGACGGUACCUAAUCAGAAAGCCACGGCUAACUACGUG
rnacentral:rRNA from 1 species